GUUGGCUAGAAGGACUCUUUAACGGACUACAAAUCCCGGCAUACAGAGUAGUUAGCCGCUUCUGGCCGCGCGUUCUGAAGCCUGUUAUAUCAGUGUCUCUAUUUCCGCAGACUGGAAACAAUUCAAAUAUCUCAACUGGCGAAUGGACAAACAAAAAUGUGAUACAUCCAUAGGAUGAAAUGAUACUCCACGGUAAAAACGAACUGAUAAGUCUGUCAACAUGAAUGAAUCUGAGAAUGAUUAUGCUGCGUGAAAAAAUCCAGGCACAGCACAUGCUGUACAAUCUCAUUUUAUGAAAUUCUAGAAAAGGAAGGGUACCUUUCGCAUGGGAGAUUUAUUCCUUGCUUUCUGGAGACAAAAGGAAGUCAGAAUUUCAUUUAUACAGAAGCAAAGAAGAGAAUUAUCUGUUGAAUUUUGUUGAAGAUGAGCAUUGAGUUCUCCUAUAGCUACCACAUCCUGCAAACACACACGAGUUAGAGUGUAUGAGAGGAGAAAUGGAGAAUACAACCAUUUGUACUGUCCACUCCCAAUUAAAAGGGAAAAAUGGGUGAGGCGUAUUGAACACACACAAAACACUCUUUUCAACCUGAAAUUUCUGUUCAUUUAUGUGCUUUGCUAUAGAUUGCUUUUCUAACUUUACUUAUUAAAAAAGCUGGAGGGCACCUGGGUCGCUCAGUCCAUAAGCGGCUGCCUUCCGCUCAGGUCAUGAUCCCAGGAUUCUGCGAUCAAGGCCCACAUCGCGCUCCCCGCUCAGCAGGAAGCCUGCUUCUGCCUCUCCCACUCCCCCUGUUUGUGUUCCCUCUCUCUCUCUGUGUCUGUCUCUAUCAAAUAAAUAAACAAAAUCUUUAAAAAAAAAAGCUGGAGAAUAUUUAAGACCAUAGGAGCUAAAUAAGAAAACAUGUUGCCUGACUAAUCAUCUUGAAAGCACGUUUCUAAGGAAGAAUAAAUUUGACUAUGUUUUGUUCUUUAUCAUAAGCUGCAGGGAACCUCUUUUUGUGCCUUCCUGACAUUCAGUAUAAGGAGAUAAGGGUUCUUCUCAUAAUCUUUUCCUAAAGAACCUGCCUUUACCCAUUGUGUGUUAAGGCGUGUAUUGGCUCCAAUAGCUUGUAAGACAUGUUUUGGAGAAUUUCAUGAUGUCACAAACAUGUCUAUUGUAGAAAAUAGUUCCAGCUCACAAGUUGUAUCUGUUAUUAAUUACUCAAGUCAUGGCAGACUGGCAAACCACAAGUAAAAGAUAGUAGUGUUUCUAAUGGGAUUUAUUCACAAUGCAAAGUCUUGCAUAUACUUCCCCUUACCUGUUUUAGUUGAAGUUUUUGGUCAAUCAUAAUUCAUUGUUAACAUUAUUAUGAUAAUUUAUUGUUGUUCAUAGCUGAGACAUAUAAUACAGUUGACCCUUGAACAACAUGGGUUUGAACUGCACAGGUCCCCUCGUGCAUGGAUUUUUUUCAGUAAAUAUACAUAUAG